AAACUUCACCACUAAACAUCAAAGCAUGAAACCUGGAGCAGGACAGCCUGGAGUAGAAAAGCUCAGAACGGAGUCCAUUUUUAAGGUGGCAGUUGCCUUCGAGAAAAUUGUUCUUAGGUAUGGCAAAUACCAUUUACGUGAAACAAACCGUUCAAAAAGGAUCAGUUACCCUCACCGCAACAUGCUCCUUGUUAUUCAAAAAGACUACAAACAAAAUGCAAGUGACUUCCAAUUAGAGAAUCAUGAAUGGCAAGCCUAUAUCAAUAUUUCCUCUGCAAAUUUUGCAGAUAACGGUUUGUAUACACCGCCGUUAUCUUUUAUCGUAAGUAACUCGUCGCACUUUCUUGUAUACCAUUCUUAAUAAAACACAAUCUUUUCAAAUUUACAUCAGCCGACAUCUAAGCUACACGUAAGCUUGCUUUGCUCUCUUUUAGGAUCAGUAAUAGUUGUGUGUGUGUACAAGGAUCUACAUAAUUUACUCCAACCAAAUUUUGACAAAACAAGGCGUGUGUUAACUAGAAUUAUAAUGGCAGCUAUGGAUCCCAAACCAGGAAAGAUGCAAGAGAAUGUAAUCUUGAAGUUUAAAAACUUGAAGAUCGACACAAGAGAGAAGCAUUGCGUGUUCUGGAGUGGCCUCAGCAAUAGGUAAAACAGGACAACAACUAAAAACAAAAAAAAA